UACGAAGGGGGCUAGCGUUGUUCGGAAUUACUGGGCGUAAAGCGCACGUAGGCGGAUAUUUAAGUCAGGGGUGAAAUCCCAGAGCUCAACUCUGGAACUGCCUUUGAUACUGGGUAUCUUGAGUAUGGAAGAGGUAAGUGGAACUGCGAGUGUAGAGGUGAAAUUCGUAGAUAUUCGCAAGAACACCAGUGGCGAAGGCGGCUUACUGGUCCGGUUCUGACGCUGAGGCGCGAAAGCGUGGGGAGCAAACAGG
rnacentral:rRNA from 1 species